GAGACCCCAAUACAUCUUGCAGGCAUAUACUAUAUCAAUAUAUCACAAUAUAUAUUGUGAUAUAUUGAUAUAGUAUAUGCCUGCAAGAUGUAUUGGGGUCU
rnacentral:pre_miRNA from 1 species